UUGCUCACUUCGGCACCACAUAUACUAAAAUUGGAACGAUACAGAGAAGAUUAACAUGGCCCCUGCGCAAGGAUGACACACAAAAUAGCUUUAGAACUACAUAGUUAG
ensembl:snRNA U6 U6 spliceosomal RNA